UACGUAGGGUGCGAGCGUUGUCCGGAAUUAUUGGGCGUAAAGGGCUCGUAGGCGGUUUGUCGCGUCGGGAGUGAAAACCUUGGGCUUAACUCAGGGCUUGCUUUCGAUACGGGCAGACUAGAGGUAUGCAGGGGAGAACGGAAUUCCUGGUGUAGCGGUGAAAUGCGCAGAUAUCAGGAGGAACACCGGUGGCGAAGGCGGGUCUCUGGGCAGUAACUGACGCUGAGGAGCGAAAGCGUGGGGAGCAAACAGG
rnacentral:rRNA from 1 species